rnacentral:misc_RNA from 1 species
AACGCACAUUGCGCCCGCUAGUAUUCUGGCGGGCAUGCCUGUUCGAGCGUCAUUUCAACCCUCAAACCCCCGGGUUUGGUGUUGGAGAUCGGCAUGAGUCCUUCGGGGCGACGCCGUCUCCCAAAUAUAGUGGCGGUCUCGCUGUAGCUUCCUAUGCGUAGUAGCACACCUCGCACUGGAAAACAGCGUGGCCACGCCGUUAAACCCCCAACUUUCUGAAGUUUGACCUCGAAUCAGGUAGGAUUACCCGCUGAACUUAA